AAAAGAAGCUGACAAGUGCCUUCUUGUGUGUUCGAACUGCCAUAAAGAAAUUCAUGCCAAAAUUACGCAGCCUCCAAAAGAAACUUUGGAGUGAAGAACGAGGUGAAUUGCGGGAAGGCUAAAUCCCUUUUGGGACAUGCUAAUCCGCAGCCAAGAUCCGCCUUUGGCGGAUAAGGUUCAGAGACUAUUCCGCAAGGAAGUACGCCGCAUUAUGCGGUGGAAGCGCCUCGCACCUAAAGCAUUAUGCUAUGGUGAUGAUAUAGUCCACGCUGUAGAGAAAUCUAUGG
rnacentral:ncRNA from 1 species